UACGAAGGGGGCUAGCGUUGUUCGGAAUUACUGGGCGUAAAGCGCGCGCAGGCGGCUAUCCAAGUCAGUGGUGAAAGCCCGGAGCUCAACUCCGGAACUGCCAUUGAAACUGUUUAGCUUGAGGAUGAGAGAGGUGAGUGGAAUUCCCAGUGUAGAGGUGAAAUUCGUAGAUAUUGGGAAGAACACCGGUGGCGAAGGCGGGUCUCUGGGCCGAUACUGACGGCUGAGGAGCGAAAGCGUGGGGGAGCGAACAGG
rnacentral:rRNA from 1 species